GAACAGGUUUUUGUGUGACCAUAAAUUUUCAUGUUCUUGGGAUAAAGGUCCAGGAGAAAGCAGGUCAUAAAACCCUUAUGUGAGAGGUGCCUCCCUUAUACCUGGAGGAAAGGAGCAUCCCUAUCUCUGAAGAUAAAAGGCUGCUAAGAAGAAUCCUAAUAAACAGGCCUUGCACUGAUGCACCAGCACUCUGCACCUGCCCUCCCAGCACUGAUGCACCAGCACUCUGCACCUGCCCUCCCAGCACUGAUGCACCAGCACUCUGCACCUGCCCUCCCAGCACUGAUGCACCAGCACUCUGCACCUGCUCUCCCAGCACUGAUGCACCAGCACUCUGCACCUGCCUGCCCAGCACUGAUGCACCAGCUCUCUGCACCUGCCUGCCCAGCACUCUGCACCUGCCUCCCAGCACUGAUGCACCAGCACUCUGCACCUGCCUGCCCAGCACUGA